rnacentral:rRNA from 1 species
AGAGUUUGACCCUGGCUCAGGAUGAACGCUAGCUACAGGCUUAACACAUGCAAGUCGAGGGGCAGCAUGGUCUUAGCUUGCUAAGACUGAUGGCGACCGGCGCACGGGUGAGUAACACGUAUCCAACCUGCCGUCUACUCUUGGACAGCCUUCUGAAAGGAAGAUUAAUACAAGAUGGCAUCAUGAGUCCGCAUGUUCACAUGAUUAAAGGUAUUCCGGUAGACGAUGGGGAUGCGUUCCAUUAGAUAGUAGGCGGGGUAACGGCCCACCUAGUCUUCGACGGAUAGGGGUUCUGAGAGGAAGGUCCCCCACAUUGGAACUGAGACACGGUCCAAACUCCUACGGGAGGCAGCAGUGAGGAAUAUUGGUCAAUGGGCGAGAGCCUGAACCAGCCAAGUAGCGUGAAGGAUGACUGCCCUAUGGGUUGUAAACUUCUUUUAUAAAGGAAUAAAGUCGGGUAUGCAUACCCGUUUGCAUGUACUUUAUGAAUAAGGAUCGGCUAACUCCGUGCCAGCAGCCGCGGUAAUACGGAGGAUCCGAGCGUUAUCCGGAUUUAUUGGGUUUAAAGGGAGCGUAGAUGGAUGUUUAAGUCAGUUGUGAAAGUUUGCGGCUCAACCGUAAAAUUGCAGUUGAUACUGGAUAUCUUGAGUGCAGUUGAGGCAGGCGGAAUUCGUGGUGUAGCGGUGAAAUGCUUAGAUAUCACGAAGAACUCCGAUUGCGAAGGCAGCCUGCUAAGCUGCAACUGACAUUGAGGCUCGAAAGUGUGGGUAUCAAACAGGAUUAGAUACCCUGGUAGUCCACACGGUAAACGAUGAAUACUCGCUGUUUGCGAUAUACGGCAAGCGGCCAAGCGAAAGCGUUAAGUAUUCCACCUGGGGAGUACGCCGGCAACGGUGAAACUCAAAGGAAUUGACGGGGGCCCGCACAAGCGGAGGAACAUGUGGUUUAAUUCGAUGAUACGCGAGGAACCUUACCCGGGCUUAAAUUGCAGAUGAAUUACGGUGAAAGCCGUAAGCCGCAAGGCAUCUGUGAAGGUGCUGCAUGGUUGUCGUCAGCUCGUGCCGUGAGGUGUCGGCUUAAGUGCCAUAACGAGCGCAACCCUUGUUGUCAGUUACUAACAGGUUCUGCUGAGGACUCUGACAAGACUGCCAUCGUAAGAUGUGAGGAAGGUGGGGAUGACGUCAAAUCAGCACGGCCCUUACGUCCGGGGCUACACACGUGUUACAAUGGGGGGUACAGAGGGCCGCUACCACGCGAGUGGAUGCCAAUCCCCAAAACCUCUCUCAGUUCGGACUGGAGUCUGCAACCCGACUCCACGAAGCUGGAUUCGCUAGUAAUCGCGCAUCAGCCACGGCGCGGUGAAUACGUUCCCGGGCCUUGUACACACCGCCCGUCAAGCCAUGGGAGCCGGGGGUACCUGAAGUGCGUAACCGCGAGGAGCGCCCUAGGGUAAAACUGGUGACUGGGGCUAAGUCGUAACAAGGUA